CCCUGGCUCAGGACGAACGCAGGCGGCGUGCUUAACACAUGCAAGUCGAGCGGUAAGGCCCUUCGGGGUACACGAGCGGCGAACGGGUGAGUAACACGUGGGUGAUCUGCCCUGCACUUCGGGAUAAGCCUGGGAAACUGGGUCUAAUACCGGAUAUGACCAAAGGCUGCAUGGCUUUUGGUGGAAAGGUUUACUGGUGCAGGAUGGGCCCGCGGCCUAUCAGCUUGUUGGUGGGGUAAUGGCCUACCAAGGCGACGACGGGUAGCCGACCUGAGAGGGUGACCGGCCACACUGGGACUGAGACACGGCCCAGACUCCUACGGGAGGCAGCAGUGGGGAAUAUUGCACAAUGGGCGAAAGCCUGAUGCAGCGACGCCGCGUGAGGGAUGAAGGCCUUCGGGUUGUAAACCUCUUUCAGCAGGGACGAAGCGAGAGUGACGGUACCUGCAGAAGAAGCACCGGCUAACUA
rnacentral:rRNA from 1 species